rnacentral:lncRNA from 1 species
AGUUUCAGAAAACAAGCUGGAUUUUUUAAAUUUUUUAUUUUUUUUAAUUUUUUUUUAAGGAGGGAAUUGGAGGAAGUGGCAAAGCUCCCAGGUUAUCCAGAGACCUGUGGUUUCUCCAUGCCCAGGUAAAAUGUGUGUUAGGGAAAGGGCAGUGGCCUGCUUUUUAAGACAGAGCCUUAGGUCUGCAUGAUGCCUUGUGGCUCCACACAGAGCCCAUGACUGCCUCUUCCAUGGCAAAUUUGCUGCUAAAUUGACAAACACCUUCUCUGUGAUUGCAGAGCUGCCCCAGCAGAAGCUUCUAGAAGAGUUAGAGGUCUUCAAUGCAACAAGUUCCCUUUUCCUCAUGUUAUUCCAGUGGUGUCCUGCUGUCCUGACUUUGUGAGGUUCCCAGAGUUACUCUGGACCCUGAUAAAUCAGACCUUAAAUAUGGAGAAAUUACCUGCACCUGGAGCAAAAACAUUUGCAGGAUGGUAGUCCAGAGCACAGGUGGUAAGUGAUCAAUACCUUUAUUUACAUUUCAUUAAGGAAUG